rnacentral:rRNA from 1 species
GACGAACGCUGGCGGCGUGCUUAACACAUGCAAGUCGAACGGACAGGCCCUGCUUUUGUUGGUUGCUCGAGUGGCGAACGGGUGAGUAACACGUGAGUAACCUGCCCUUGACUUUGGGAUAACUUCAGGAAACUGGGGCUAAUACCGGAUAGGAGCUCCUGCUGCAUGGUGGGGGUUGGAAAGAUUCGGCGGUUGGGGCUGGUCUCGCGGCUUAUCAGCUUGUUGGUGGGGUAGUGGCUUACCAAGGCUUUGACGGGUAGCCGGCCUGAGAGGGUUACCGGCCACAUGGGGACUGAGAUACGGCGCAGACUCGUACGGGAGGCAGCAGUGGGGAGUAUUGCACAAUGGGGGGAAGCCUGAUGCAGCAACGCCGCGUGCGGGAUGACGGCCUUCGGGUUGUAAACCGCUUUCGCCGGUGACGAAGCGUGAGUGACGGUAAUGGGUAAAGAAGCACCGGCUAACUACGUG